GUCCAGACUCCUACGGGAGGCAGCAGUGGGGAAUAUUGCACAAUGGGGGAAACCCUGAUGCAGCGACGCCGCGUGAGUGAAGAAGUAUUUCGGUAUGUAAAGCUCUAUCAGCAGGGAAGAAAAUGACGGUACCUGACUAAGAAGCCCCGGCUAACUACGUGCCAGCAGCCGCGGUAAUACGUAGGGGGCAAGCGUUAUCCGGAUUUACUGGGUGUAAAGGGAGCGUAGACGGCAUGGCAAGUCAGAUGUGAAAGCCCGGGGCUCAACCCCGGGACUGCAUUUGAAACUGUCAGGCUGGAGUGCAGGAGAGGUAAGUGGAAUUCCUAGUGUAGCGGUGAAAUGCGUAGAUAUUAGGAGGAACACCAGUGGCGAAGGCGGCUUACUGGACUGUAACUGACGUUUAGGCUCGAAAGCGUGGGGAGCAAACAGGAUUAGAUACCCUAGUAUA
rnacentral:rRNA from 1 species